GGCGUGGUAUUUUAAGUUAAAAUGUUUGUUUUACACACAAAAGAUGAGUUUGAGCUCUGACGUUA
rnacentral:tRNA from 1 species